GAAGAAGAAGAGAAUGAGAGGUCGAAGUUCGCUAUUCUUAGCGAAAAAAAGGUGAAAGGAGGGAAAAAGAGAGGCAAAGAUCUCCGACGAAGGCCCUACCACCAAGAGAAGGGUGAUUUGUGGCUGACCGGUGCCGAAAAUUGUGAAAAUCUAUCGAGUUUUCUGGUGACCUAUGAGCACAACACGUGAUCAAAUUGGCACUUUUGUUAGUAAUUUUCUAGAGCUUUAUUUAUCAGUUUAAUUAAACAAAAUGCUCUAGAGAUAGCUUACAUGUAAUAGAACAUGUUUAAAGUUCAAAUUAAAUCAAAAUCAAGCCAUGCAUGC
rnacentral:lncRNA from 1 species